rnacentral:lncRNA from 1 species
UACAAAGUUGCUUUGUAUCAUGACAAGGUGUAGUACUGAAACUACCGAGGUUACCUAGCCAGCUACACGUUCAAAGUCAACAACGCAGCCACUGCUAGCUAGCCUACUCCACCAGCCAGCAGUACUGUAUCAUCUUAGUCAAUAACAUUUUUGCAACGCCAUACAAACGCUCCACACCGCGUGGCCGCUGCCACUCUAACCUGGUGGUCCCAGCGCGCACGACCCACGUGGAGUUCCAGGUCUCCAGCAGCCUCUGGAACUGCCGGUCUGCGGCCAACAAGGCAGAGUUCAUCUCAGCCUAUGCUACCCUCCAGUCCCUAGACUUCCUGGCGCUGACGGAAACAUGGAUCACCACAGAUAACACUGCUACUCCUACUGCUCUCUCCUCGUCUGACUACGUGUUCUCGCAUACCCCUAGAGCAUCGAGC